AACGAACGCUGGCGGCAUGCCUAACACAUGCAAGUCGAACGAGAUCUUCGGGUCUAGUGGCGCACGGGUGCGUAACGCGUGGGAAUCUGCCCUUUGGUUCGGAAUAACAGUUGGAAACGACUGCUAAUACCGGAUGAUGACGAAAGUCCAAAGAUUUCCCGCCAGAGGAUGAGCCCGCGUAGGAUUAGCUAGUUGGUGUGGUAAAGGCGCACCAAGGCGACGAUCCUUAGCUGGUCUGAGAGGAUGAUCAGCCACACUGGGACUGAGACACGGCCCAGACUCCUACGGGAGGCAGCAGUGGGGAAUAUUGGACAAUGGGCGAAAGCCUGAUCCAGCAAUGCCGCGUGAGUGAUGAAGGCCUUAGGGUUGUAAAGCUCUUCUACCCGGGAUGAUAAUGACAGUACCGGGAGAAUAAGCUCCGGCUAACUCCGUGCCAGCAGCCGCCGUAA
rnacentral:rRNA from 1 species